rnacentral:tRNA from 1 species
GGGUAUAGCUCAGUGGUAGAGCACAUGCUUAGCAUGCAUGAGGUCAUGAGUUCAAUCCCCAGUAUCUCCA